AUACGGAGGGUGCAAGCGUUAAUCGGAAUUACUGGGCGUAAAGCGCACGCAGGCGGUUUGUUAAGUCAGAUGUGAAAUCCCCGGGCUCAACCUGGGAACUGCAUCUGAUACUGGCAAGCUUGAGUCUCGUAGAGGGGGGUAGAAUUCCAGGUGUAGCGGUGAAAUGCGUAGAGAUCUGGAGGAAUACCGUUGGCGAAGGCGGCCCCCUGGACGAAAACUAACCCUAAGGUUCGAAAGCGUGGGGAGCAAACAGAUUUAGAUUCCCUGGUAGUCCACGCCGUAAUCGAUGUCGACUUGGAGGUUGUGCCCUUGAGGCGUGGCUUCCGGAGCUAACGCGUUAAGGCGACCGCCUGGGGAGUACGGCCGCAAGGUUAAAACUCAAAUGAAUUGACGGGG
rnacentral:rRNA from 1 species